UCAGUUGGGGAGACGCCUACAUAAUUUACCGCGCCCUUAUAUUCAUAUUUUGUUUAAACCAGUUUUAUUUUACUGUCUAUUACUAUCGACUUCAGCGUUUUUUUCUGUGAUGAGUAUUCUUGUUUAAAAAUCAUGCAUUUAUCUCCUAAAUCUCGAAGACGAAGGUUUUUGUUAUAAAAUCAUUCUCAGUAAAAAUGAAAAAUACCACUUCUGAUUAUAUCGUUCAAGAAUUGGAAAAUGAAUAUCUACAUGACAUCAGCUCAUACCUAGAGAACUUUUGUGCUAAUAACUCGAGCAGCGAAAUGGAACUUAAAAAUGUAAAAAACGACAAUCUUAGUGUUUCGAAUACUCCUGUAUAUAACAGCACACAGUUUCUGGAAAUACUAAAAAAUAUUCCCGAAGAACGUCCAUAAAUG